rnacentral:rRNA from 1 species
CAGCCGCCACGGGAAUACGGAGGGUGCAAGCGUUAAUCGGAAUUACUGGGCGUAAAGCGCACGCAGGCGGUUUGUUAAGUCAGAUGUGAAAUCCCCGAGCUUAACUUGGGAACUGCAUUUGAAACUGGCAAGCUAGAGUGUGUCAGAGGAUGGUGGAAUUCCCGGUGUAGCGGUGAAAUGCGUAGAGAUCGGGAGGAACAUCAGUGGCGAAGGCGGCCAUCUGGGACAACACUGACGCUGAGGCACGAAAGCGUGGGGAGCAACCAGGAUUAGAUACCCCAGUAGUCCCUGUCUCUUAUAA